rnacentral:rRNA from 1 species
CCGGCGCACGGGUGAGUAACACGUAUCCAACCUGCCGUUUACUCUUGGACAGCCUUCUGAAAGGAAGAUUAAUACAAGAUGGCAUCAUGAGUUCACAUGUUCACAUGAUUAAAGGUAUUCCGGUAGACGAUGGGGAUGCGUUCCAUUAGAUAGUAGGCGGGGUAACGGCCCACCUAGUCUUCGAUGGAUAGGGGUUCUGAGAGGAAGGUCCCCCACAUUGGAACUGAGACACGGUCCAA